rnacentral:rRNA from 1 species
AACGAACGCUGGCGGCAUGCCUAACACAUGCAAGUCGAACGAGACCUUCGGGUCUAGUGGCGCACGGGUGCGUAACGCGUGGGAACCUGCCCUUAGGUUCGGAAUAACUCCCCGAAAGGGGUGCCAAUACCGGAUAAUGUCUUCGGACCAAAGAUUUAUCGCCUUUGGAUGGGCCCGCGUUGGAUUAGCUAGUUGGUAGGGUAAAAGCCUACCAAGGCGACGAUCCAUAGCUGGUCUGAGAGGAUGAUCAGCCACACUGGGACUGAGACACGGCCCAGACUCCUACGGGAGGCAGCAGUGGGGAAUAUUGGACAAUGGGCGAAAGCCUGAUCCAGCAAGGCCGCGUGAGUGAUGAAGGCCUGAGGGUUGUAAAGCUCUUUUACCCGGGAUGAUAAUGACAGUACCGGGAGAAUAAGCUCCGGCUAACUCCGUG